UGCAUCUGAGGCCAGUGAGGAUGAGAACCUCCGGGGGCAGGAGGUUCGACUCGAGCGAAGCGAGAGAACGUUGCGUCAGCAACGGCCCGCAGGGCGAGCCACGAAGU
rnacentral:sRNA from 1 species